AUGGCCCUCGCCACCCUCCUCUUCCUCCUCCUCUCCCCCUCCACCACCACCACCACCCCGUCCACCAGCGUGGCGCACCUGGCGGCGGUGGGGCUGGCGUCGCGGCAGUACCAGUCGGGCGGCGGGGGACGGAUGGCGUUCGAGGAGUCCGGCACCGGCGGGCGCCACGGCCGCGUGCCGCUGGGGCUGAAGCGCAAGGGCCUGCGGGUGGUGGUGACCGGCGGGGCCGGGUUCGUGGGCAGCCACCUGGUGGACCGGCUGCUGGCGCGCGGGGACAGCGUGAUCGUGGUCGACAACUUCUUCACGGGGCGCAAGGAGAACGUGGCGCACCACGCCGGGAACCCCAACUUCGAGAUGAUCCGGCACGACGUCGUCGAGCCGAUCCUGCUGGAGGUGGACCAGAUCUACCACCUCGCCUGCCCGGCCUCCCCCGUGCACUACAAGUUCAACCCCGUCAAGACCAUCAAGACCAACGUGGUGGGCACGCUCAACAUGCUCGGCCUCGCCAAGCGCGUCGGCGCGCGCUUCCUCCUCACCAGCACCAGCGAGGUCUACGGCGACCCCCUCCAGCACCCCCAGGUCGAGACCUACUGGGGCAACGUCAACCCCAUCGGCGUGCGGAGUUGCUACGACGAGGGCAAGAGGACGGCGGAGACGCUGACCAUGGACUACCACCGCGGCGCCAACCUCGAGGUGAGGAUCGCUCGGAUCUUCAACACCUACGGGCCGCGCAUGUGCAUCGACGAUGGCCGGGUCGUCAGCAACUUCGUCGCUCAGGCGCUGAGGAAGGAGCCCCUGACGGUGUACGGCGACGGCAAGCAGACGAGGAGCUUCCAGUACGUCUCCGAUCUGGUGGAGGGUCUGAUGAAGCUGAUGGAGGGGGAGCACGUGGGGCCCUUCAACCUGGGGAACCCGGGGGAGUUCACCAUGCUGGAGCUGGCCAAGGUGGUGCAGGACACCAUCGACCCCAACGCGCGCAUCGAGUUCCGGGCAAACACCGCCGACGACCCGCACAAGCGCAAGCCCGACAUCACCAAGGCCAAGGAGCUGCUCGGGUGGGAGCCCAAGGUGGCGCUCCGGAACGGCCUCCCGCUCAUGGUCCAGGACUUCCGCGCCCGCAUCUUCGGCGACCAGAAGCAGCAGCAGCAACCCGACGGCGCCGAGUAG
rnacentral:rRNA from 1 species